CGUUAUUGUUUAGGGAGUGGUAACCUGGAGAACAGAGAGAGCCUGUCGGCUUCAGUUUUCAGGUCUAAGCCAAGCCGAGUACAAGAUCCAGGUUAUAUAUAUAUAGAUCAAUAGUUUGUACUUGAAAAUUACUGCAAUAGUGGUCGAAAGUUGUACUCAUUUUAAUAUAAAAAAUUUCCAACUAUUCACUGUAAGCUGUCAACGAAUUUGAAUAUUAAUAUUCCAAAGGAAAAUACUCAUAUUUGUAGACCAUAUUCUGUGAUAAGAAAAGAGAACAGGAAUGCAAAAUGUCUGCUAACACUUCUCUGUUGGAUUUAUAUUUGGAUGCCACCAUAAUUGCUAACCCAGUGGAGAGAUCAACAGUGAUCCAGAAUAUUGUCAAUGUGUUGAAAGAGUAUUCGUUGGACAAAAAGUAUGAAAUAAAAAUGAGUGAUGGAGUAUUAUUACUUCUAACAGUUGAGAAUGGAAGCUUGUCAGCAGUUUUAAGAACACACCUGAAUGGGCUUAUUACUUUAACCCUGGAAGAGGGUUCAUCAUCAUCCUUUCUAACAAAUAUUUGUUCUUCUAAUGAAAAGGUAUUACAGGGAGUGGAAGAGCUUAGAAAAAGAUUGAACAAAGCAGUUCAGAAGAGAGUAGACAGAAUUCCUAUUUUAAAAAGAGGAUUAGAAGUUCCCAAUUACUUCUCAUCAUCUGACGAGCGUAUUUUUGAGUAUGAUUUUGAUAAACUGGUGUUCCAAGCUGACUCUCCUUUCCAGAAUGUGAAGAUUCUGCAUUCUCCAACAUUUGGAAAUACCUUAUUUCUAGAUGAUUUGCAAAAUCUUGCAGAGAGUGACUUGAGUUAUACACAUGGACUUAUGAAAUAUGGAGAGCUGUCAUACAAAGACCAGGAGAUUUUAAUUCUUGGUGGUGGUGAUGGUGGCCUUCUUCAUGAACUACUGAAAGAAAAGCCAAAAUUUAUCACUAUGGUUGAUAUUGACCAGCUGGUGGUAGAUGCUUGCCGAGAACAUCUUCGAGGUGCUUGUUUUGAUUCCUUGGAUAAGUUAAAGGGUGACAACUAUGAGGUAAUCAUUGGUGAUUGUGUGAAGAAAAUGGAUGAAUAUAUGAAAGAAGGAAAAAUGUUUGACUUUGUGUUCAGUGAUUUAACUGAUAUACCCAUAGCAACAGAACCAGAGGGCUACAGGGAUUGGUUGUGUUGAUGCUCUACAGGAAUAUGAAAAGAUGCUUCGUAAACUUCCAACUAAAGUUGAAUUCAGAAGCCAUUCAGCUUUUGUGAAGUCGUUUUUGGAAAAAUGGGUAUUCUAUGAGAUUUGGGAGAUCUAAUGAGCCUUCAGACUUCCUCCAACCCAACUAGUCAUUGAUUUUUUUUUAACCUGUAUCAAACGUUUCCAUUUUGCUAGUUUAGUUUUAGAAUGCUUACAUUUUUGAAAUAUGAUUCAUUUCAGUAAUUGCUGAUUAACUGUAAUCAGAGAUAACUCAUGACCUUUGACCUGUUUGUGCUUUCUUCAAAUGUUUUAUCACCUUAUUUUCUGUAAAAUUGUUUUUUGUUUUUUUUCUAAAGGAACAGAAAAUUAAAUUGUAAAGGAAAGAAAAUAAACUAAACUUAUGGAAUAAGAUAUUGGUACAGAGACUUGGAAACUUGUUUCAGCACUUUCAUAUGAGGACACAUGAUAAUGUUGAAACCAGUUUAUUAGUUUUUGUGCUAAUAUUUUAUUCCAAAUGUGCUGUUUAAUUUUUCAUUAAUUUAGCUAAAAUACACAGUAUUGUGUAGUUAACACUAUUAUAUAGGAUUUUGGGGAGUGGGAUUGAUUGACAUUUUGUAUUAUGUUUUGUGAAUAAAGAUGUGUAUUUUUAUUCUGUGUAUUUAACUACAAGCUUGGGUGUUGUUUAGUUAUCAAGCUCUUGUUUUUGUUACAUUCUAUAUUAAUAAAAUAACUUUUUUUUCCUUAAAGUUUGUUUUGAUGAGAAUUAAAUUAAUUGUAUUAUUUUACUGCUUUCUAGGAUUGUUGAAAUCUAGUAUUAUUUUGAUUUUGAUGUGCUGCUGGUUUUCUGCUACUAUCUUGUAAGAUAAAUGAUUUGGUUUAUUUAUGACCUAGUUCCUUAAUAACUUCAUGGUGUAAGCUACAUUUAUACUGCAUGCUUUUGUAUUUUGCCUUCAGAGAUAAAUUGCUACAGAAGUUUAAUGGCUAAGGUUUUGUUGAGGCAGCUUGAAAGAUUUUGAUACUUUUUUGUUGUUUGUAAAACUGGUGUAAUAUGUAUACGCUCAAAUUAUUGUUCAUUAAUUUCUUACAAAUUUUCAACUAUGUUCUUAGAUUACAUUAUAUUUAUUUUAAUUUUUACUGGAAUUUGUUAAGUUUCAUUCAGUAUGUCAUUAACAUUGUCAACAUUAUAUUCUUCAAUAACUUUGAAAUAUGUGUAUUAACAAAGAUGUUUUCAAACACAAAUAUUUUUUCCUAUGUUAGGUGCUCAAAGAUGAAACCUUGAUUCUGUAACACAGCUAAGCAUAUUUUCCUCAGUUUUUCAUUGUCUUGAAUGGUGAGAAGUUAUGUUAAUAUUAAGACAAUUCCAAGACUUCUCUCCAUGAAAGAAAUAGAUGAAUUCACCUAUUUCUUUCAUAGAAAAAAGGUCUAGAUUUCCUGUAAUAUUAAAAUACUUCUGUGUAAAGAAAGCUUGAAAGCUGUUUAUUGUGAAAUUACAUCUAAGAGAUACAAUAUAACUUAGAGGAUGCAAAGAAAAUUUUUCUAGAAUUUUUUAUAGUACAUUUUCAUAAUGAGUUAAUUAGAAAACUGAUGAGAAGUUAAACUAGAAACAGUUCUGUUUAUGUAAGCAGGAAACUUACAACAGGUUUAACUAGAAACCAUAAUUUAAAUUAAAUAUGUAUUCAGCAAGAUGGUUAUUGAAACUUUUUCUGUUGGUUUAUAAUUGGUUCAGAAUAACAACAGUGUUAAUCAGGGAAGUGCAGAACAAGGCUAAAUGUUUCUCAGCCACAGGAUGGAUAUCAGCAAGUUGAAUAUUCACAUAGUUUUGAAAAAACACACUUCAUUGCUUCCAAGUUUUCAUAAUUUUUCUAUUGCCAAAUUUAAAUAAGUUUGUGAAAGAUAAUAUUUACAGUAAAUAUAUUCAGUAAAUUUUUAUUUUAUUUUAGACUUUUCAUUAACAUUUUAAUCAUUAAUUAGUUAUAAUUAUACUUAGUGCUAAUUUUAAAAGUUGGGAAACCAGAAAAGUGCUGAGAUGAUUAGCAGCCAGGAAAAAUGUUAAAUGGUUACUAGUAAAAAUUGUUAAAGGUCAGAAUAACUAGUCAUUUCAGACACAUUUGUAGUCAUUAUCUUUGCUCAUAGAAUUAUGGUUUUUGAACAUAGAUCUUUUAUUUCCCAUUUACACUAUGAUAAACUGUAGAGCCUGAAUAAGACAGUAUAUUUCUACUUUGUUUUCCCUUUUGUCAUUUGCAUGAAUAAUUCUAAGUGUUAGAGGGAGAAUUAACUUUUAGAUCUGGGUGUUGUACAUUAAAUCACUCUAUGAUUUAUCGUUUUUGCUCAAAAUUUAAUGUGCUAAUAAGUUAAUACGUUCAAGUUUAGGUAAGAAUGUACUUUUUUUUCUGUAAACAAUGAAAAGCAAUAUUGCAUGUGUAGAAAAAAAAAAUCUCUCCAGUUAAAGUACUAUUUCGUCUUAUUUGUAUAAAAAUAGUUGAUAAUAAAUAUUAAUUACUUAAAGGUAAACAUUUGUGAGUAAAGUGUAUAAUGUUUUAUUAAUAUGCAACUUAAAAAGUUACCAAAGAAUAAGACUCCUUGAAAUCUGUAUCAGGUACUGUGUAUCUGAGCAAACAGUGCUAGCUUGCCAUUACUUUAUUAGUUUUACAAAUGUUAUUACUGUAUUUUCAUUUAACAGUUAUGAAAAAUAAAUGAUUGAAUACUUAA
rnacentral:misc_RNA from 1 species